rnacentral:rRNA from 1 species
AGGGUUCGAUUCUGGCUCAGGAUGAACGCUGGCGGCGUGCUUAACACAUGCAAGUCGAACGGGAUCCACCGGGCUUUGCUUGGUGGUGAGAGUGGCGAACGGGUGAGUAAUGCGUGACCGACCUGCCCCAUACACCGGAAUAGCUCCUGGAAACGGGUGGUAAUGCCGGAUGCUCCAGUUGAUCGCAUGGUCUUCUGGGAAAGCUUUCGCGGUAUGGGAUGGGGUCGCGUCCUAUCAGCUUGACGGCGGGGUAACGGCCCACCGUGGCUUCGACGGGUAGCCGGCCUGAAAGGGCGACCGGCCACAUUGGGACUGAGAUACGGCCCAGACUCCUACGGGAGGCAGCAGUGGGGAAUAUUGCACAAUGGGCGCAAGCCUGAUGCAGCGACGCCGCGUGAGGGAUGGAGGCCUUCGGGUUGUAAACCUCUUUUAUCGGGGAGCAAGCGAGAGUGAGUUUACCCGUUGAAUAAGCACCGGCUAACUACGUGCCAGCAGCCGCGGUAAUACGUAGGGUGCAAGCGUUAUCCGGAAUUAUUGGGCGUAAAGGGCUCGUAGGCGGUUCGUCGCGUCCGGUGUGAAAGUCCAUCGCUUAACGGUGGAUCCGCGCCGGGUACGGGCGGGCUGGAGUGCCGUACGGGAUACUGGAAUUCCCUGUGUCACGGUGGAAUGUGUAGAUAUCGGGAAGAACACCAAUGGCGAAAGCAGGUCUCUGGGCCGAUACUGACGCUGAGGAGCGAAAGCGUGGGGAGCGAACAGGAUUAGAUACCCUGGUAGUCCACGCCGUAACGGUGGAUGCUGAAGUGGGGGCCCUUUCACGGGAUCCGUGUCGGACCUAAGGCGUAAGCAUCCCGCCCUGGGGAUACGGCCCCAAGCUAAAACUCAAGAAAUUGACGGGGCCCCCCCAACCGCGGAACUGGCGAUUAAUUAAUGGCACCCAAGAACCUUAC